AUGGGGUGGUUCCCCCAAGAGCCUGGUGUUGCUAAGAUCUGGGUAGAUGGUGCAGUUGCGAGAAAUCAGAACGAGGGAUCUAUUAGUGUUGUCUGUAGGAAUUUAGAAGGUGUUUUUAUGGGUGCCUCAUGCAUGAAAUAUAUAGGCACAUCGGAGCCAGCCACUUUGGAAGCUCUUGCCUGUCGCGAGGCCCUAGCGAUGGCUAUUGAUCUAUAGCUCGACAGAGUGUUGAUCGCUUCAGAUUGUCAAGAAGUGGUCCGAGACAUCCAGAGCCGGACGGGAGGUGUUUACACAAGUGUCAUCAAGGAGAUUAAUGCGAGAGCGGCAAAUUUUCAGCAAUGCUCCUUCAUCUUCGAAGGAAGAGAUUCUAAUGUCGAGGCACAUAGCCUCGGUAAGCAUGUUUUUGGUCUGGAACCGGGGCGUCAUGUGUGGUUCUUAAACCUCCCAGACUUAGAUUGUAUUCCUAUGAACAUUAUUGAUCAAUAA
rnacentral:rRNA from 1 species